UGGACUUGGACCCUGCCGUGUCACAAUGGCUGGUCUGAAAUGCAUGAGUGCACCCUGCCAUAGCAGCGUCUUCAGUGUGAUAAGUAUCUUCACUGAUCCAAGCUUCCUCUGUGGAACACGCUUGUCUGGUGGGCUCUGGGCUUCCAACCGUCCCCAUGGACAACUCUUGACAAUUUGACCUCAAAUCGGGUGGGAUUACCCGCUGAACUUAAGCAUAUCAAUAAGCGGAGGAAAAGAAACUAACAAGGAUUCCCCUAGUAACGGCGAGUGAAGAGGGAAAAGCUCAAAUUUUGAAUCUGGUACCUUUGGUGCCCGAGUUGUAAUCUAGAGAAGUGUUUUCUGCCUUGGACCACGCAUAAAUUCCCUGGAAUGGGGUGUCAUAGAGGGUGAGAAUCCCGUUUGUGGUGUGGACUACCUUGGCUUUGUGAUACACUCUCAACGAGUCGAGUUGUUUGGGAAUGCAGCUCAAAAUGGGUGGUAAAUUCCAUCUAAAGCUAAAUAUUGGCGAGAGACCGAUAGCGAACAAGUACCGUGAGGGAAAGAUGAAAAGCACUUUGGAAAGAGAGUGAAACAGUACGUGAAAUUGUUGAAAGGGAAGCGCUUGAGGUCAGUCACAUCUGUCAGGACUCAGCCAGGCUUCUGCCUGGUGUACUUCCUGGCCGGUGGGUCAGCGUCAGUUUUGACCGAGGGAAAAAGGCUUGGGGAAUGUGGCUGUCUUCGGGCAGUGUUAUAGCCCCUUGUUGUAUGUCUCGGUUGGGACUGAGGAUCGCAGCACGCCUUAUGGCCGGGGUUCGCGCCCUCGGUACGUGCUUACGAUGCUGGCAU
rnacentral:rRNA from 1 species